rnacentral:lncRNA from 1 species
UCAACAGUCGGGUUGUUUUGAAUGUUUGUGUUGCUGAAGUGGCUUAAAUUCUGGUUCCAACGAGUUAAAGAAUCGUCAAUAUCAGAGUAUUUAGGUGGCUGGAGCGACUGCUAGAGUGAAGGGAGGGGAUCAAGCAAGUGCUCUAGUUUGACAAGGUUUGAAAUUAACAAAAGAUAAAAGAAAAAACAUUGAAGCUUGUGUGUGUGAGUAGGGAAGGUGAUCAAGUUUAUGAUUGUUUUAGAUUAGGUUUUAUGAUUAGGAUUAAAGUUUGUUAGCAUUUGGUAGGGUUUUAAGGUUUGGUAAUAUUUGUUAGAAGCAAGAUUUAGGAUUGUUGUUUUAAACAUUUUUAGUCAUUUUUUAGGGUUUGGAUUUAUAUUUAAUUUAUUGAUGUAUGAAUAGUUGUUUGAAUUUUCUCAAGAUUUGUGAAGGUGAUGAAUUUUCCAUCUUAAGGUUGUUCAAUUUAGAGUAAGUGGAUAGAGGA